CCUACGGGAGGCAGCAGUGGGGAAUCUUGCGCAAUGGGCGGAAGCCUGACGCAGCGACGCCGCGUGCGGGACGAAGGCCUUCGGGUCGUAAACCGCUUUCAGCAGGGACGAGGCCCUCACGGUGACGGUACCUGCCGAAGACGCCCCGGCUAACUACGUGCCAGCGGCCGCGGUAUUACGUAGGGGGCGCGCGUUAUCCGGUUGCAGUGGGGGUACAGCGCGCGUAGGCGGCCUGUUAGUUCGGGGGUAAAAUACCGGGGCUCAACCCCGGUCCGCACCCGAUACCGGCAGGCUUGAGUCUGGUAGGGGAAGGCGGAAUUCCAAGUGUAGCGGUGGAAUGCGCAGAUAUUGGGAAGAACACCGGCGGCGAAGGCGGCCUUCUGGGCCACGACUGACGCUGAGGCGCGAAAGCUAGGGGAGCGAACAGGAUUAGAUACCCCUGUAGUC
rnacentral:rRNA from 1 species